rnacentral:rRNA from 1 species
CCCAGACUCCUACGGGAGGCAGCAGUGGGGAAUAUUGCACAAUGGGGGAAACCCUGAUGCAGCGACGCCGCGUGAGUGAAGAAGUAUUUCGGUACGUAAAGCUCUAUCAGCAGGGAAGAAAAUGACGGUACCUGACCAAGAAGCCCCGGCUAACUACGUGCCAGCAGCCGCGGUAAUACGUAGGGGGCAAGCGUUAUCCGGAUUUACUGGGUGUAAAGGGAGCGUAGACGGCAGCGCAAGUCUGGAGUGAAAUGUCGGGGCCCAACCCCGGAACUGCUUUGGAAACUGUGCAGCUGGAGUGCAGGAGAGGUAAGCGGAAUUCCUAGUGUAGCGGUGAAAUGCGUAGAUAUUAGGAGGAACACCAGUGGCGAAGGCGGCUUACUGGACUGUAACUGACGUUGAGGCUCGAAAGCGUGGGGAGCAAACAGGAUUAGAUACCCCUGUA